CAGUCGCCGCGGGAAUACGAAGGGAGCUAGCGUUACUCGGAAUUACUGGGCGUAAAGCGUGCGUAGGUGGUUGUUUAAGUCUGCUGUGAAAGCCCUGGGCUCAACCUGGGAAUUGCAGUGGAUACUGGGCGACUAGAGUAAGGUAGAGGAUAGUGGAAUUUCCGGUGUAGCAGUGAAAUGCGUAGAGAUCGGAAGGAACAUCUGUGGCGAAGGCGACUAUCUGGGCCAUUACUGACACUGAGGCACGAAAGCGUGGGGAGCAAACAGGAUUAGAUACCCGCGUAGUCCCUGUCUCUUAUAC
rnacentral:rRNA from 1 species